ACACUGACGUCGCGACGCAUAUCAAUAAGCGGAGGAAAAGAAACUAACAAGGAUUCCCUUAGUAACGGCGAGUGAAGCGGGAAGAGCUCAAAUUUGAAAUCUUCAAGGUUCUACCUUGACGAAUUGUAGUUUAAAGAAGUGUUUUCUGUUAGUGAGUGGCAAAAGUUCUUUGGAAUAGGACAUCAUAGAGGGUGAGAAUCCCGUAUUUGGUCAUUCAUUCUAGCUUUGUGAUACACUUUCAAAGAGUCGGAUUGUUUGGGAAUGCAGUCCAAAAUGGGUGGUAAAUUUCAUCUAAAGCUAAAUAUUGGCGAGAGACCGAUAGCGAACAAGUACCGUGAGGGAAAGGAUGAAAAGAACUUUGAAAAGAGAGUUAAACAGUACGUGAAAUUGUCAAAAGGGAAGCGUUUGACACCAGUGUUGUUUUCUCGAAAAUCAAUUACGAAUGGCUUGAUUUUGUAGUUGUAUUGACCUUAUCAGCUUCCUUACACUUUUUCGAGUCUUUCUUAAUGCACUUUUCGGUUAACAAGUCAACAUCAAUUUCUUUUGUUGUAAAAGAGUAUUCGGAAGGUGGCUUUCUUUUCGGAGAAAGUGUUUAUAGCCCUAUGACUUCUACAAUCGGAGAGACUUGAGGUCUGCAGCGUAGAUCCUUCGGGGUUAGAUACAUUUGUGCUAAGUUAUAGCUUUUCAUAGACAACUUGUUGACUAUAGUUUAGUCUUGUAGCUUACUCGCUUAUGCUAUUUUACCUACGCUUAGGAUGUUGAGUCGUAGAGCACGCAG
rnacentral:rRNA from 1 species